rnacentral:rRNA from 1 species
GUCUACGGCUGUACCACCCUGAGUGGUCCUGAUUUCGGAAGCUAAGCAGGGUCAGGCUUGGUUAGUACUUGGAUGGGAGACUGACUUGGGAUACUGGGUGCUGUAGGCU